rnacentral:rRNA from 1 species
AUUAGCGGAUGACCUGUGGCUGGGGGUGAAAGGCCAAUCAAACCGGGAGAUAGCUGGUUCUCCCCGAAAGCUAUUUAGGUAGCGCCUCGUGAAUUCAUCUCCGGGGGUAGAGCACUGUUUCGGCUAGGGGGCCAUCCCGGCUUACCAACCCGAUGCAAACUGCGAAUACCGGAGAAUGUUAUCACGGGAGACACACGGCGGGUGCUAACGUCCGUCGUGAAGAGGGAAACAACCCAGACCGCCAGCUAAGGGCCCAAAGUCAUGGUUAAGUGGGAAACGAUGUGGGAAGGCCCAGACAGCCAGGAUGAUGGCUUAGAAGCAGCCAUCAUUUAAAGAAAGCGUAAUAGCUCACUGGUCGAGUCGGCCUGCGCGGAAGAUGUAACGGGGCUAAACCAUGCACCGAAGCUGCGGCAGCGACGCUGAUGCGUUGUUGGGUAGGGGAGCGUUCUGUAAGCCUGCGAAGGUGACCUGUGAGGGUNNNNNNNNNNGAUGCAACGCGAAGAACCUUACCUGGUCUUGACAUCCACAGAACUUUCCAGAGAUGGAUUGGUGCCUUCGGGAACUGUGAGACAGGUGCUGCAUGGCUGUCGUCAGCUCGUGUUGUGAAAUGUUGGGUUAAGUCCCGCAACGAGCGCAACCCUUAUCCUUUGUUGCCAGCGAUUAGGUCGGGAACUCAAAGGAGACUGCCAGUGAUAAACUGGAGGAAGGUGGGGAUGACGUCAAGUCAUCAUGGCCCUUACGACCAGGGCUACACACGUGCUACAAUGGCGCAUACAAAGAGAAGCGACCUCGCGAGAGCAAGCGGACCUCAUAAAGUGCGUCGUAGUCCGGAUUGGAGUCUGCAACUCGACUCCAUGAAGUCGGAAUCGCUAGUAAUCGUGGAUCAGAAUGCCACGGUGAAUACGUUCCCGGGCCUUGUACACACCGCCCGUCACACCAUGGGAGUGGGUUGCAAAAGAAGUAGGUAGCUUAACCUUCGGGAGGGCGCUUACCACUUUGUGAUUCAUGACUGGGGUGAAGUCGUAACAAGGUAACCGUAGGGGAACCUGCGGUUG